rnacentral:sRNA from 1 species
AAAAAGAGAAGAAGAAACAAAUCACCUCUAGGAACAGAGACAUCAAUGGUAAAUAAUGUAUCGUCGUCUUUAUCCGAAUCUUCAUCAA